rnacentral:misc_RNA from 1 species
GAUGAAGAACGUAGUGAAAUGCGAUAAGUAAUGUGAAUUGCAGAAUUCAGUGAAUCAUCUAAUCUUUGAACGCACAUUGCGCCCGCCAGUAUUCUGGCGGGCAUGCCUGUUCGAGCGUCAUUUCAACCAUCAAGCCCCCGGCUUGUGUUGGGGACCUGCGGCUGCCGCAGGCCCUGAAAACCAGUGGCGGGCUCGCUAGUCACUCCGAGCGUAGUAAUACAUCUCGCUCAGGGCGUGCUGCGGGUUCCGGCCGUUAAAAAGCCUUAUUUACCCAAGGUUGACCUCGGAUCAGGUAGGAAGACCCGCUGAACUUAAGCAUAUCAAUAAGCGGAGGA